GGGCAGUCCCAGUGCAGAAGCAAAGGCAGCCUGUUCUCUCCAUGAGAUCCCCAUCUGAAGUUAGAGAAGAACAGCUACAGAACUAUUCUCUGCCAGGCUCCAGAGACACCAGUUCUGCUGGUCGGCACCUUCUCCCACACCAGGACAACACGUCACGCCUGACUGGGAGAAGCAGAGAUUCCACAGUGCAGCUUGCAGGGUUGGGACUCUGUGAGUGUGAGGGAGGCUAAGGAGGAGACAAACAGUGGGACACAGACACAAAUAUGCAUUCCUGAGGUCUCCUUGUCUUCCCAUCAAUUUCUGCCAUUUUGUGCAUUCCUGUGCACACUUGCAGGCUGCCACACAGCCCCAUCCUGCUCCGUGAAAGCUCUGAACAAUGCCAUCUACUGAAGUCCCACCUACUCUUGCACACCCAUGCUCACACAGAGCAGGAAGCCAGAGGAGCAGAGUACAAGCAGCUCAUGACUGCCUGCAGGUGUCAUUCCCCACCGUUCCUGGACAGCCAACAGCCUUUGUGACAUUUCAGACUCCUGCCCACUCCCCUGCCUGCCCACAGAGAGACGGAUCUCUUCCUCUCCACUCUCCUCUUUCCACACCUCUGAGUGUCUGUGCUGUCACCAAGGGCAAGUGGCUGGAAGAGGGGGGCCUUCCACUAUGGAUUUCCACCGGUUCCUGGUGGCAACACUGCUGCCUGUGGGCUGGGCCCUUCAGCAAUCACCAGAUACAGUUGUCCGGGUGGGAGACACCGUCACUCUGGAAUGUUCUGCAUCAGGGAAAGAUUUUGUAAACAUGUACUGGUACAAGUUACCCAUGGAGAAGAAUGCCAGCAUGCAGUUGGUUGUAUAUUCAUUGGAAGGCAGCAAAGCAGACAUUGAGAAGGAAUUCCAAAAUCGCUUCCAGAGUAAUGGGACUAAGAACAACCAUUUGUCUGUGAAGAUACAGCAUGCCCUACUCAAUGACACAGGCACAUAUUUCUGUGCUGA